UUUUUAGGGUUCCGUAGCCAAAUGGCAAAAAACGGAACCCUUAUAGAUUCGUCAUGUCCGUCUGUCUGUCUGUUUCUAAUAUCAUUUUUUUCUAAACUGAAUAG